AGCGAACGCUGGCGGCGUGCUUAACACAUGCAAGUCGAGUGCGCAGUUUCCUGUAGCAAUACAGGAAAUGGGCGCACGGCGCACGGGUGCGUAACACGUGGACAAUCUACCCUUUGAUGGGGAAUAACCCGCCGAAAGGCGGGCUAAUACCGCAUAACAUCCCAGUCGCUUCGGCGAUAGGGAUCAAAGCCCGCAAGGGCGUCAUUGGAGGAGUCCGCGGCCGAUUAGCUAGUUGGUGAGGUAAUGGCUCACCAAGGCUUGGAUCGGUAGCCGGUCUGAGAGGACGAUCGGCCACACUGGAACUGAGACACGGUCCAGACUCCUACGGGAGGCAGCAGUGGGGAAUCUUGCGCAAUGGGCGAAAGCCUGACGCAGCGACGCCGCGUGGGGGAUGAAGCUUCUCGGAGUGUAAACCCCUUUCGACCCGGACGAAUGACCCGCAAGGGUUUGACGGUACGGGGAGAAGAAGCCCCGGCUAACUACGUGCCAGCAGCCGCGGUAAGACGGUA
rnacentral:rRNA from 1 species